GUGACACCGGACUACAGUCGCAGUUAAAAUGGCCAAGCGUGAAGAUUUCAUCGAAACCUUCACAUUCGUCAAGGAACUGGCAAAAAUGCAUGAAUUUUGCUUGUUCCUUUGCCAGGUCUGUUGUCCCUUUGCCAGUUCUGUUGCCCCCCUCUCCGCUAUAUGUGGUUUCACCAAAAAUGUUUAAUUUGAUGUGGUUUGAUUAGAUAAAGAUAAUUAUGAUAUGAUAGACUAGAAGAAAUCUGAUGUUAGUUUUUGAAUUUUGUCGGCAACAAAGAAUCUCGUGAACUUCCCCAGGUAGUCUCUAAUGCAAGUAAGGACGCUUAAGGUUUGCAGCCCUUCAGAAAACUGAUCGAGUUCACCUUUUGUGGCUAGCACAGUGUGGUGCAUGUUCAGGGCAGAGAGUGAAGCCUUUCUUUUUUUAUUGACAAGGUUGGUGGCAAUCAUUGACAAGGCAGUCAGUAACUCUGCCAUCGCACUUUAACUACUCAAGAUGGCUUGAGUCUGCCGGUGAGAUCCAGCAACAGAUACUUUAUGCAUUUUAGGCAUUAAUUGUGGCUAUUUUGAAUCACUCUUCCAGCAAUGUUUAAAGUGCUGGCAUCCGGAAUAUUUUCUAUUGAAAAUUCGAUGUUUGCAAUAUUGCAUCCACAGAUAUAUGAAUAUAUAUAUCUUAGAUGGAAAGACUGGCAACCCUCCACCAUCUUGUACAAUUGACAAGGCAACUAAUUUCCCAAGACUUUAACAUUUAGCUUUCUAUAAGACACAGGAAAUUACUAGAAAGAUGUCUCCAAAUGGGAACUAUAGGUAUGCAUGGCUGUAUGUUAAUUUUUCAUCUACUUAUUAUUUUGUCCUUUGCACUUAUAUGCAUUUGCAUUGUAGUUGUGUGCAGCUAAAUGCGGCAGGCGAAUUAAUGGCUAGUGGUUAGGGCUUUUUUGGUACUAUCUUUAGAGGAGAAGCAAACGAUAUUACGUCUUCGCAAACCGGACGGAAGUCGCAGUUAAAAUGGCCAAGCUAGAUGAAGAUGAUGAUGCAUCUAAUGAAGCCGUUCUUCAAGAAGAAGCUCACGUCUCAAUUGCUAUGGGCGACAAGACACUUGAGAACGUUAUUCGCUUAUUUACAUUUGCUGUUCAGCAUUGGCUUUUGAUGUUAAGAGAAUAUUGAUUAUUUUAUAAUACCCGCUUAGUGCUGCGUCCAUUCGAGCGGUUCCACCCUUCAAUGACAAUAAUUCAAUAUUCCCAAUUAUCAAAUGAGUGAGCAUGCUGGCAGGUAGCGUAACGAGGGUGGGAUGGAAUAAGGGAGAGACUAUAGUGGAAGGAUGGACGUGAAGGUGGGCCGGAGGAAGAAAGAAAGAGACAGGAGGAAACGAAGGAGGGAUAUCCGUGCAUAUAUUUAUGCAUGCAGGCAUGUGUUAUUCGAUCAUAACGAUUUAAGCCUUUGAACAUUGAAUUAUUUGUAGUACAUAUUUGGCUUGUAUUUGAAUAUGCCAAUCACGGCAACUUCAAGAAGAUUACCGAUCUCUCAGAGAAUCGGUAUGAAGCGAAGCGAACGCGCCGCCAGACCAAACUAGAGCAACAACAUCAAA